CAUAGCAAAAACGGCCUCGUAAGAAGAAUAUUCAAAACUGCCCUGUUUUUACCGAUUUACCGUCACUUAAUUCGGACCUCUAAUCAGCUUCAAAACAUACUCUAACUCGAUACAAUUUUACACUUACCAAUAGUUUUCGAGGUCCUCUACGAGUUUUGUGAAGGAAUGAUUCCCAAAUUCUCACUCCAAACCCUCCAAAUUCUGCUCCGAAAACAGGUGCGGCAGCAAAUACUAUUUCCUUCAAGGUUCCGGCGAGCGGGCUGAACUUCUUGCCCAAUUCCGGAAACCACCGCCGAUUAAUACUACCGAGCUCCAACACCAAUGGAAGGCUAACAUCUCAAGGUUUCUAACCGUGUCCUGAUCGUCAAUAUUCAACCUCUAAGGCCUCCGAGCAAUUAAUUCUUCGAAGGACCAAAAGCUGAAAUCCGAUUCUAAGACAGCUUGUCUUCUUCGUCGGAUUCCGGCCACCACCGCCAAUCAUCUGAUGCGACCACCACCGGAGGCGAUCUGAUCAUAAUAGCCCCUUGAUAGAGCCUCCUUCACGCAGCCCUGAUUCUGCCAAUAAUUCGAAUUGGGGAUUUGCAAUUCCAACCUCAAAUUUGUUUCAUAUACCUCACUUCUUCAAACCUCUUCUUCAAUUCGAUUUCCACAAUUAAUUUCUGUGAUUCCAGCCAAGAAACGAGAGAGAGGAAGAGCCGAUGAUGAGAGAGAGAGAAAGAGAAAGCGAUGAGAGAGUGAGAAACUCUGAUUGAGCUUAUAAAGAAACGAAGAGAGGAGAAAUUGAUCGGAUAGGAAGAAGGAGGAUGACUCGUACGACACGCGUCUCUCUCCUAGUUUCCAUGGUUAAUAACACUUCAUUAUCCGAUUAAACAAGCUCGUUAAUUGCUUAAUGGCCAAGUUUGCUGAUUUAGAGAAUUAUUAUUAUGCUUAUGUCCCAAAAUUAUUACAUAAUAACACAUCAGCCCCCAAUUCUCAUUAUAAAGUACAAUAAACUCUCGCAUAAAUUACGGGGUGUUACAAUCUCCCCUCCUUAAAGGAAUCUGGUCCCCAGAUUCUCAACUAAUACUCGGACACGGGAAUAGUCUUCGAUAAUCAUCUUCUUGCUAACUUGUGGCUUCUUCAACUUGGUAGUUUCUCCGAAAUUCCUUUUAUGUCUUUUUGUCGAGGAAUUCGUCACCAAGAGGGAUAACCCUUACGUGGUUAGUCUCUAGAAAGUUGGUGCCGAAAUAAGAACCGAUCUCUAUUCAUAUGAUAAUUUAUCUUCACGCUAUGUCGUUUCGAGAAGCAAUAUUCAAGAUUGAUCGGUGGUGUUAGCUUAGUACGUACCUCGAAUUUACUACAAAUUUUCCAUAAGGUUGAGCUCCACUCCACGUAAAGAAAAAUAUUAUUGGCUACAUAACCUAUACAUUCUCAAGUUCGGAAAUGACUUGGAUAACGAGUAAACUCUUAUCGUAACUGAUUUGAAAAAAAAACUCGUUCAAAUACAACAUUAGGAUGUACUCUCAAUAUUCACGGGCUUAUUAGCAAUGUCGUCCAAAUCAUCGGUCCGGACUAGAUGUAAACCUUGCCGCCGAGCAACAUGCCUAAUAUAUAUAACGUUCUAAUACAUAAAGGUCGAGAUAUUGAUAGUCAACCAAUUAAUGUGACUUGUGAGGUACAUCAACUAUUAGGAAACAAUCGAGUUAAGGUUGUAGCUAGAAUGCUACAAAUGGUCUGACGAGGAAUAAGAGGGAUUGAUACGAACUCGAUAUCGAUCGAAGGUUCUAAGUAGCACCCUCAUUAUCCAUCGCAUUUUCCUUAGAAGAAUGUGUUUCUUCUCAUCCUUUUCGCUCGAACCUUUUCUUGAUGAGACAUACGAUAAUCCUAUCAAUUUAGACUAUGUACUCUUGUGGAACGUUCCUAUGCUCUUCUGACGAUCUUGUGCAUUCUUCGAUCUUAAUUUGAUAAGUCCAACUUUACCGAUAGCACCUGGUGUCAAUCUCCAAGCCCUUACGUUUGCCGUCGUUAGUUGUUCGUCGCUCAUCUAGUCUUGAAUUGCAAGCUCGAUUGAUACUUUAUCCCACGAACUACUGCGAAACUGUUUGUAUUGUCGCUUGCUUGAUAGUUGUCCUAAGUCAUCACGAUAAUUCGCGUUGUACGUCCUCAAUGUGUCCGGUCACCCGCUCAGACCAUAAGUUAAUUUUGGCGAACGUUUCUUAUACCGAGCCGGAAUUUGGUCCCAUAUUGUAGAUAGUUGCUUCCAUAACAACGAGAUGACUUAUAAUCUAUAUAGAGAUAAUGUGAGUUAGCUACAAGAGAUAGAUUUCGGAUCUAAAUUAUCUUCAGGAGACAAAGAGGCAACUACUUUUCCGGUCCACAAAAAUUCUCUUCUCAUUGCUCUACAUAAAGUGGAAUUGAGUGCACCACAAUUACAAUCAAAGAGGACGAGCAAGCCUGAUUUACUUAUUAUAUCAACAUUGGAGACUAGAAUAGCUUGAUUAUAGACGGCGUUCGCAAGGAAAAGGUUUUCGAACAGUAGAUCGACCAGGAAACGGUUGAUGGAAGAGAGAUUUACUUCUAAAAUCAAGAGUAAUCGAAGAUGGCAACGGUUGAUACAAUCUUCCCGUGGUUUCGCAACCGCAUGCCUAAUAAAUACUUAUCGUAGAGAAGUCAUGACUCAGAAUAUCCGACAAUUGAGUAGCCUUAAUUCAUUCAAUUCACUACCAUUUCAAGAUAGGUCAACUAGUCUAAUGUCAUUCUUCGAUACUAAGUACGCUCUAAUCACGUCCGAAACAGUAUACACACUAUGUCUAGUAAUGUCCAUGGUGAAUUACUUCAACCAAACGACAUGACGGGCAAACCUUCUUUAUAGCAAGUUGAACAUGCAAGCCGAAAUCUUGCAGUUGUCGUUCCCAUCUUACAAAGAAAAGUGCAAUCAUCUACGGUGUUAUUGACAAAGGUGUUCUACUUUAAACUUCUUCUCCACAUAGCACUUAGCUCUUGAUAUUAACCGAAUAGAAUUGCAAAAACUGAUAAUCCAAUGUUAAGAUAUAGCUGACUUAUCGGACACUAGGGACUCUAGAGGUGGCUCAUGCAAGAUUAAGAGGUGGCUCCCGUUGGGUAGCACUUUGCCCUGCAUAGCACUUAGCUUCCUGUACCCUGACGAUUAGAAUCAAGAAUUCAAAAUGCUCAAGAUACUUUAAGAGUCAACAAACUCUAUAGAAUUUCUAAGUCGUGAUAACUACAUAACCUUUUUCCGUUGAGUAAAAUAAUCGUCGAAAUUAUUCUAGGUCGAAUCCAUAAGAUGAUAUACCAAUAGAUGCAUACACCUGUAGUCAUAUUACAUGACAUUGCCCAAACAAGGUCCAUACUUUUACCCUGAAUUAACAAUAAUCAUGGUCUAUGAGUGAGAGGGAACAAAUAGAAGCGACAUAAAGAAGUCGAAUCACAGGGUUUCAAAGGGAUAAGAAACCUCACAUAAUAGGAUAUCCAAAUCGAGAAGUAUUCAAUGAGAUGAGGAAUCUCAAAAAAAAAAAAAAAACGGAACAAGGAAAUCGAGGCAUUCAAACGAGAUCAAAUACCUCACUCGUGAUCCAUAAUGGAAAGGACGUAAGAUAGUCAAGCAAUAUUGUAUUCAAAGAAUCAGAAACCUGAGAAAGUAGGUAACCGAGAUGCCAAGUAUUGAAAUGAGAUAAGGAGUUUUGAAAUGAGAUAUGGGAUUUCCAUUGUGAUCAAUAAUAACAAUGGAACAAUACAUGUACAAGACUUGAAUUUUGAGGCCAAAAUAACAAGAACCUCAAAAUAGGUAGAAAGAUUGAUCCGAUAUCAGAAUCAUAACAAAUGGUAUAACCAAAUCAAACGAGAAUAGGGACCUCAAAGGUACGUGACCAAAAUCACGAGAUAUUCAAGAAAAUUGGAAUAUUGAAAAAUGUAGUAGUAUAGAUUAAGUAAAGCAAUAUUCGAGGAAAUAAAAAGUCUCGACAAAUAGAUUAGCCGAAACUAUAGAGUGUUCAAAGAGAUACAAAACCUCACAAUCAGGUAGAUGAUCAAAGCAGAUGGUAAUAGAAUAAAGUAAGAAGCCUCACAAGAACAUGGCCAAAGUCAUGACGUAUUCAAAUAAUUGGAACACUAAAGAUGAAGUGAACUGAAUAAGAAGUCUCGGCAAAUAGAUAAGCCAAAACCAUAGAAUAUUUAAAAAGGAAAGAAGGUGGAGAUGGUAGCACAAUAAGGUAAGGGCUUCAAAACAAGGGAUAAUCCAAUCCACACGGUAUUUAAAGGGGUACGAAACCUCAUAAAAUUUGUAACUAAGACUAUGAGGUAUUAAAAUGAGAUAAGAGAAUCGAUUACAAACAACAAAUGAAAUUAGACAAUAUAGGCGAACGAAGCAAAAUCGAAUUCAGUGGAAUGAUAAGGAGUGAACAAAAGAACUCCCGAAUAUUUGGUUCACCGUAAUUCAAUACUCAAAACGAGAUAAUAGGGUUUGGAUAAGGAAGUCAAGUUAUGAAGUAAAAAGGAAUGGGAUAUCUGCAAAAAAGGUAUUACCAAAUUCAAGUGAGACUAGGAACCUCACUCGUGACAAACAACAUCGGAGAAUUGGAAGCCAAUUGAAGUAACAAAAAGAACCAAGAAUCCCAUCGUGUAUGACAUAUAUUUGUACGGGGUAUUCUUCACUAUCUAUAUCAGUAAUAGACGCUAAAGUAUUAUCUCAACGCCUCUAAUACUCGAUUACUACCAAUCUUCUCAAUUUCCCAAGAUUCAAUUCAUACCUCUACAAUUAUCAAAAAAUCCCUUUUUCCAUCAUCGCCCGGACAUCCAACCCAAAGCUACCAAGGCUCUGAUACCACCUGUAGCGCCCCGCCCCGAGUAGCAGGCACCUCGUGGCGGAACACCACUCAACAUGCAGUACAUUCAAUGACCCCAAAUAUGCUCCUCCAAAUUUGCGAUUAUCAAAAUAUUAAACCCCAAUAUCUAUACCAUCUUGUUUACAAAAGGGGAUUCUAUUACAAGUCGACUUCGACACUAAUUACUCAAUUACAAAAUUCUCGAUCAAAGGAUUCCUAUACGGAACAUAAAUAGAGAUACCUCUCGACGAGACUAAUCGGAGGCAUACACGAGCUUUAACUCUUAGUACGAAAAUUUAGGUCUAAGUCUUUCUUUUACCUGCGCAUUAAUAUCAGAAAGGAGAAACAAAUAAGUCCGAAUGACUUAGUGAAAAACAUAUGAUCCAUGAGUAUGAUGAGAAUCAACAGAACAGAACAUAUAACGAGAGACUUUACAAGAAUUUCAUUAACAGAAGUGUAACAUGAAGUGUAACAUGUACAAGAGUGUAACAUGUACGGCUUGAGUUCAAUAUUUGGUGGGGUCUCCAACCUUGUAACUCCCAACAAAUAAAAUCAUAUCACAUCCUUAUCCCUCCAAUCCGUCCCGAGUGGCCACUCGGACGGAAACAGGCAGGAGGCACGACCGGAACGUGCCGAUCCGGCUCAGGAACGUUUAACUCCAAACGAACGUGAGUCCGAACCAUCAGGAGGUACCAUUCGGGAGACCAGUCAUCGUCAGCCCAAUACUGCCCGAUCGUCUUGCCGAAAUGGUCCUAGGGCCCAGCUCCCCCAAGAGCGUCCUCAAGGGUGGGGACAGUAGGUUCAAGAAUCAAUAUUAUUCCUUUUAGGAAUAUCAAGUCAUUAAUUUCAAGAAUCAAGUCAAUCAUUCACAAGAUAAGUCACGAUCACGAUAAUUGAAUAUCAAGUCUCAGGAUAAUGAACAUGUUCAGAUUUCAAUUCAAGCCAAUGAAGAAUUGUCGUGAAUAUGGAAUUCAAGAACAACAAUAAGUUCCAUGUCAGGUUCCAAGAACGAGUAUAUCAAGAUCUCAAUGAAUUCAAUAAACAUGAGAUUCAAGUUCGAGCCAACAAAAUAUUUAUUCUCGGAAAGCAUUCAAGACAAGAUUUUGAGAAUAAAUAUAGUUCAAUAUCGAUUCAAGGAAAAUGUUCAGGCCAGGGAAUCAAGUAUAGGAAUUAGCCGUGAACAUAGCAACCAAGAGAAUUGACAAGUUCAAGAUUUCAAGAACAAGAUCAAGGUUCCAAGUUCGAGCCAAGGAAACGAAUAUGCUCACAGAACAUUAAAGGUCAUAUUCCAAGAAAAAAUAUAAUCAAUGCAUCAAAGGAUUCAAGAUGGAGAAUAUAUUUGGUUUAAACAAAGGAGAUAUUAAGCGCAGGAAAGAAAUCGGAUAAGGGGUCAUAGUUUCUCACCUGGAGUCCAACGCUAGUGCAAAGCUAGUGCUAUAGAAGUGCUAUAGAAGCAUCUUUAAGCUUAAACCUUGAGUGAGAGCUUUAGUACGCUCGACACCUAUAAACAUAUUCAUCACUUAACAAGAUUCCAAAUGCUAAUAUAAUCGUAUUAUUCUACUAUAUCACAUAGUCAAUUUCUUAAACAUAUACUAAGAAUUGCUUCUCACGGCAAUUUAUUCAAAUAAUCAUUGCGAUCAUCGUACUUAUCCGAAUGACCUAAAAGAUAUAUAAAGUUAAAGAUAACAUCUGUAUCUACAAUUUUACUAAAGACUUUAAUCCCAAAUUAACAACAUAACCCGUCAAUAAAAACCCCGAAAGAUGAAUACAUAAACCUGCCAGAUUUUCGGAUAAUUUCGUUUACUGUCACAGCUUAUUCGAACAAUCGUUACGAUCACCUUACUUAUCCGAAUAACCUAAACGAUAUAUCGAAUUAAAUAUAACAUCAGUGUCUACAGAUUUACUGAAGACCCUGAGCCCAAAUUACCGACCUAACACAGUAAUAACAGCCACGGAAGAUGAGUACAUGAAACUGCCAGGUUUUUUUUUGGAAAAUUCGUUGUUGGCACAGUUUGUUUGAAAAAUCAUAACAAUUAGCAUGCUAAUCCAAAUUGAUCACAUGAUACGUCAAAUGAAAGCUAACAGAAAAUUCUGCGAGUUCACAGAAGGCUUUAGUCCCAAAUUCGGAACCGAAAAUAGCAGAAACAGCCUCAAACCAGCAUUACAGAACUGCCGGGAUUUUGGAAAGAUUACUUCUGGUACAGCUUAUUGUAAAAUUCAUAACUAUUUGUAAAGUUAUCCAAAUUGUCCAAACAAUACACCAAAUUGAACCUUACAAUGUAAACUACAAGUUCUCAGAAGACACACAACCCAAAUUAUUAGCUCAACAUAGCAAAAACGGCCUCGUAAGAAGAAUAUUCAAAACUGCCCUGUUUUUACCGAUUUACCGUCACUUAAUUCGGACCUCUAAUCAGCUUCAAAACAUACUCUAACUCGAUACAAUUUUACACUUACCAAUAGUUUUCGAGGUCCUCUACGAGUUUUGUGAAGGAAUGAUUCCCAAAUUCUCACUCCAAACCCUCCAAAUUCUGCUCCGAAAACAGGUGCGGCAGCAAAUACUAUUUCCUUCAAGGUUCCGGCGAGCGGGCUGAACUUCUUGCCCAAUUCCGGAAACCACCGCCGAUUAAUACUACCGAGCUCCAACACCAAUGGAAGGCUAACAUCUCAAGGUUUCUAACCGUGUCCUGAUCGUCAAUAUUCAACCUCUAAGGCCUCCGAGCAAUUAAUUCUUCGAAGGACCAAAAGCUGAAAUCCGAUUCUAAGACAGCUUGUCUUCUUCGUCGGAUUCCGGCCACCACCGCCAAUCAUCUGAUGCGACCACCACCGGAGGCGAUCUGAUCAUAAUAGCCCCUUGAUAGAGCCUCCUUCACGCAGCCCUGAUUCUGCCAAUAAUUCGAAUUGGGGAUUUGCAAUUCCAACCUCAAAUUUGUUUCAUAUACCUCACUUCUUCAAACCUCUUCUUCAAUUCGAUUUCCACAAUUAAUUUCUGUGAUUCCAGCCAAGAAACGAGAGAGAGGAAGAGCCGAUGAUGAGAGAGAGAGAAAGAGAAAGCGAUGAGAGAGUGAGAAACUCUGAUUGAGCUUAUAAAGAAACGAAGAGAGGAGAAAUUGAUCGGAUAGGAAGAAGGAGGAUGACUCGUACGACACGCGUCUCUCUCCUAGUUUCCAUGGUUAAUAACACUUCAUUAUCCGAUUAAACAAGCUCGUUAAUUGCUUAAUGGCCAAGUUUGCUGAUUUAGAGAAUUAUUAUUAUGCUUAUGUCCCAAAAUUAUUACAUAAUAACACAUCAGCCCCCAAUUCUCAUUAUAAAGUACAAUAAACUCUCGCAUAAAUUACGGGGUGUUACAAUCUCCCCUCCUUAAAGGAAUCUGGUCCCCAGAUUCUCAACUAAUACUCGGACACGGGAAUAGUCUUCGAUAAUCAUCUUCUUGCUAACUUGUGGCUUCUUCAACUUGGUAGUUUCUCCGAAAUUCCUUUUAUGUCUUUUUG
rnacentral:lncRNA from 1 species